rnacentral:rRNA from 1 species
UGGGGAAUAUUGGACAAUGGGCGCAAGCCUGAUCCAGCAAUGCCGCGUGGAGGAAGAAGGCCUUCGGGUCGUAAACUCCUGUCAGGUGGAAAGAAAAGGCGCCGGUAAAUAAUCGGCGACGUUGACGGUACCACCAGAGGAAGCCCCGGCUAACUCCGUGCCAGCAGCCGCGGUAAUACGGAGGGGGCAAGCGUUAUUCGGAAUUAUUGGGCGUAAAGGGCGCGUAGGCGGCUCGGCAAGUCAUCGGUGAAAUCCCUCGGCUCAACUGAGGAACUGCCUUUGAAACUGCUGAGCUUGAGGCCGGAAGAGGGUGGCGGAAUUCCCAGUGUAGCGGUGAAAUGCGUAGAUAUUGGGAGGAACACCAGUGGCGAAGGCGGCCACCUGGGCCGGUUCUGACGCU